rnacentral:rRNA from 1 species
GACGAACGCUGGCGGCGUGCUUAACACAUGCAAGUCGAACGGAAAGGCCCUGCUGUUGUGGGGUGCUCGAGUAGCGAACGGGUGAGUAACACGUGAGUAACCUUCCCUUUACUUUUGGAUAACUUCAGGAAACUGGGGCUCAUACCGGAUAGGAUCUCCUGCUGCAUGGUGGGGGUUGGAAAGUUUGGGCGGUUGUGGAUGGACUCGGGGCUUAUCAGCUUGUUGGUGGGGUAGUUGCUUACCAAGGCUUUGACGGGUAGCCGGCCUGAGAGGGUGACCGGCCAAAUUGGGACUGGGAUCGGGCCAGGACUCCUACGGGAGGAAGAAGUGGGGAAUAUUGCAAAAUGGGCGGAAGCCUGAUGAAGCAACGCCGGGUGCGGGAUGACGGCCUUCGGGUUGUAACCCGCUUUCGCAUGUGACGAAGCGUGAGUGACGGUAAUGGGUAAAGAAGCACCGGCUAACUACGUG